rfam:Tupaia chinensis contig42594, whole genome shotgun sequence.
GGCAUGGUUUGAGUCCUGUACCCAGUGCCUUGAGACUUAUAGACAGGUGCAAAAGUAAAUCCUGUUUUGCAACCCAGAACUCAUAGUCUAGUAUGGGUUUUGAUACAUGUAAGCAGGCAUGUG